UUUCUUUAUAUUUCUCAUUUUGGAAGUUUCAGCAAUGUUGAUCACUGGAGCAGUUACUAUUACAAGAGUUAUAUCCGAUCCAUCCUCUCCGUCGUCUUUUGGAGCUUGGAUUAAUCAUGCUGCCAAUCAUCAUGUUGGUGCUAUUUCAUUUCUCAUCGUUGAUUUCUUCCUCUUCUUUGGUGUGGCACAGUUAACAAUUGUCCAAGCAUCUCAGAUAUCUCG
rnacentral:misc_RNA from 1 species